rnacentral:rRNA from 1 species
UACGAAGGGUGCAAACGUUGCUCGGAAUUAUUGGGCGUAAAGCGCACGUAGGCGGCUUUGUAAGUCGGAUGUGAAAUCCCUCGGCUUAACCAAGGAAGUGCAUCCGAAACUGCAAGGCUUGAGUACUUAAGAGGAUCGCGGAAUUCCCGGUGUAGAGGUGAAAUUCGUAGAUAUCUGGAGGAACACCGGUGGCGAAGGCGGCAUCCUGGACCAACACUGACGCUGAGUGAGCGAAAGCCAGGGGAGCAAACGGG